UACGUAGGGUGCGAGCGUUAAUCGGAAUCACUGGGCGUAAAGGGCGUGUAGGCGGGAAUGUAAGUCGGGCGUGAAAGCCCCAGGCUCAACCUGGGAACUGCACUCGAAACUGCGUUUCUUGAGUAUCGGAGAGGAAAGCGGAAUACCUGGUGUAGAGGUGAAAUUCGUAGAUAUCAGGUGGAACACCAGUGGCGAAGGCGGCUUUCUGGACGAUUACUGACGCUGAGACGCGAAAGCGUGGGGAGCAAACAGG
rnacentral:rRNA from 1 species